rnacentral:rRNA from 1 species
UACGUAGGGUGCAAGCGUUGUCCGGAAUUAUUGGGCGUAAAGAGCUCGUAGGCGGUCUGUCGCGUCGAAUGUGAAAACCCGGGGCUCAACCCCGGGCCUGCAUUCGAUACGGGCAGACUAGAGUUCGGUAGGGGAGUCUGGAAUUCCUGGUGUAGCGGUGAAAUGCGCAGAUAUCAGGAGGAACACCGGUGGCGAAGGCGGGUCUCUGGGCCGAUACUGACGCUGAGGAGCGAAAGUGUGGGGAGCGAACAGG